GAUGAACGCUGGCGGCGUGCCUAAUACAUGCAAGUCGAGCGAACAGACGAGGAGCUUGCUCCUCUGACGUUAGCGGCGGACGGGCGAGUAACACGUGGAUAACCUACCUAUAAGACUGGGAUAACUUCGGGAAACCGGAGCUAAUACCGGAUAAUAUAUUGAACCGCAUGGUUCAAUAGUGAAAGACGGUUUUGCUGUCACUUAUAGAUGGAUCCGCGCCGCAUUAGCUAGUUGGUAAGGUAACGGCUUACCAAGGCAACGAUGCGUAGCCGACCUGAGAGGGUGAUCGGCCACACUGGAACUGAGACACGGUCCAGACUCCUACGGGAGGCAGCAGUAGGGAAUCUUCCGCAAUGGGCGAAAGCCUGACGGAGCAACGCCGCGUGGGUGAUGAAGGUCUUCGGAUCUUAAAACUCUGUUAUUAGGGAAGAACAAAUGUGUAAGUAACUAUGCACGUCUUGACGGUACCUAAUCAGAAAGCCACGGCUAACUACGUG
rnacentral:rRNA from 1 species